ensembl:lncRNA
UCUGGGAAGAGUCUGGUAGUAUGCAGACACACUGAAUGCUUCAUUCUCAAUUGCUAGAGGAGAUUCAAUUCAUUUGGGCAAUUGUCUAGAAAGAUUCUCUGACCACAGAACAUAAGCACAUAACUGGUCCUGGAUAUAUUGCAAAGUUCAUAGUGUAGUUAGUCCUUUCUGAGUAGGUAAUGCUGCAAUAUGAUGCUUGUUUGACUGUGUUGUUGCUUUGUAUGCAUGUCUGCAGGCACUUGUGUUCCACAUAGAUGAAGCAUAAAUAGGCUGGUGCACCUGUGUAAACAGUCCAAAUGUAGUAUUUGUGCAUGCAAUGUGAAUAAGUCAAUAAAUAAAGCAAGCAAUCUUAAUGCAUACUACAAAAUAUGCAAAUCACAAACAUGCCAUUGUGAUGGAAUUAAAAUUGCAUACAUGAAAUGCUUAGCAUUUAAAUAUCAGUGAUUAAAAAAAAUCUGAAAACAUAGCAAUACAGUUUCUAUUUACAUUUAUGAAAAAGUUAGAGGUCAGUAAGAAUUUUCGGUUUUGUUUGAAGAUUAAACUUAUCAAACGUGACAGUAUAGAGUAGACUUUUACAUUGUUACAAAAAAGAUACUUCAAAUUUGUUGAUAUACACAUUAUAUACACAGCUUUUGAUAAGUGACGCAUUUUCCAUCCAAAAAGAUGAAACCACAGAUGCCUAGCAGUACACACAUCAUAUGAAUUGAGCAGGGGCGGAUUUAGUGAAUUGGGGGCCCCAGGCAAAUAUAGGAAUGGGGCCCUAUACAUUUGCACACAUUUACCUAGACUGGAUUAUUGAAAAUGCACAUUCAUUCUCUACCAGUAGGAGGUGCUUUUGGAACGUAAGAAAUAUAGUGGUUGCCACGAUAACGGCUGUAAACAAAGUGAGUGUGAGUGAGUGACGUGACAUUCAGCCAAGUAUGGUGACCCAUACUCAGAAUUAGUGCUCUGCAUUUAACCCAUCCGAAGUGCACACACACAGAGCAGUGAACACACACACACACUGUGAACACACACCCGGAGCAGUGGGCAGCCAUUUUAUGCUGCGGCGCCCGGGGAGCAGUCGGGGGUUCGAUGCCUUGCUCAAGGGCACCUAAGUCGUGGUAUUGA